CAAUUUAUUAACCUGCCUCUGAGAUGAAGUGCAGCUGUGAAGAACAAACUUUCUCCCGUUUGGUUACGACGGGUGUUUAAUGUCUUUCUGUUCAUUUGAGUUUCUAUGAAACUGUGAUAAACAGGUAUUUAUGUUGUUGCUUUUUUAUUACUACGCAAACCCUUUUUAGUUUUGUAAGUAUUGGCUAUAUUGAGAGGUCUUAUUUUAUUCUUACUUCAUUUUACAAAUUUAUUUGAAUAAGGCCAUCCAAUUAAGAUUUUAUGUUGUUGGUUGUAAAGAUCAUUUAUUUUAUUCUUUUUCAGUUUAAUUUUCAAGACUUUGUGAAUUCUCUCUUUUUUUUCUAUAACUGGGCCUACCCUUUUUAGUUUUGAUAAUAUUGGCAAUAGUGUGUGAAGAAGAAUCUGAUGAGGAAUAUUUUACUUUAUUUUUUGUUUUUUUGCUUUUCUGGUUUCCCCCUGAUGGAUUGCCACCUUAACGUGGUCAGGGGGUUUGCAUGCCUUAGUGACCAUAAAAGCUAGACCAGCAGAAGCUUAGCCUUCAGGUGGGACACCCAAGUUAGUCAGGCCUUAGGGUAGAGGCCUGACAAAGUGCAAUCCAAUUACAUGAGAAAAACAGUUGUCCAGAGUACGGCAGCCACGAUUAGUCGACUAUCAAAAUCAUCACCGAUUAAUUUAAUACUCAGUGCAUUAUUUGAAGCUUUGUAAGAUCCUGAAAGACGCAGGAAUAAGCAGUAGGAUUUAAGAGUGUAAUAACUGACUGAAACAGAAGAUGGCAGCAAUGCAUGUACAAGGAUGCCAGCUGCUGUUAAACGCCAAAGAAGAAGCAGAAGCAGUCUCCGGUAUCGUAGCUAUGUCCAAGUUUAGGGGCCGCAUCCUUCGGAGGCCGCAUUUGUAGGCCGAUUACAUUACAGCGACGCGACGAAGGCUGUCCAAAUUCCUCCAGAUGUGGCCGGACUGUUAGAACAGCUUUGAAAUUCUCAUGAGUUGUUCGCACUAAAGUACAAACCACCAUCACUUCAUGCGGCUAUCCCUUCGGCGCCAGCUGCGGUCUCGAGGCUGGAGCUGA
ensembl:lncRNA